GCAUUAGGAGUUAUAUAUGCUAUCCAAGUACGUUCCAUAAUACCCACUUUCUAAACCCUAUGAAUAUCCAUGUCUUUAUGUAUCAUGCCCUUGCUUGAUGUCAUGCUUGAUUACCUUGAUAUAUAUUUGAUGCUUGUUUGAUCAUCUUUGAUAAAAAUACAUACCAUGUGUCAUAUUUCCAAACUAAUCUCUUAUGUUUCAUGAUAGCGCUUGAGAAGCCGUUCAGGUACGCACUUCGACUCUCUCUUAUGGUUGGUUUUCUUGUUAGGCAUGCAAUAUUUGAAACCACCUAGCCUACUUAGGUACCUAUAAUUAACUGAUUAAUGGCCACACUUCCCUUAAC
rnacentral:lncRNA from 1 species